rnacentral:rRNA from 1 species
AUUGAACGCUGGCGGAAUGCUUUACACAUGCAAGUCGAACGGCAGCACGGGUGCUUGCACCUGGUGACGAGUGGCGAACGGGUGAGUAAUAUAUCGGAACGUAUCCAAUAAUGGGGGAUAACUAAUCGAAAGGUUGGCUAAUACCGCAUACGCCCUACGGGGGAAAGCUAGGGACCUUCGGGCCUGGCGUUAAUGGAGCGGCCGAUAUCUGAUUAGCUAGUUGGUGGGGUAAUGGCCUACCAAGGCGACGAUCAGUAGCUGGUCUGAGAGGACGACCAGCCACACUGGAACUGGGACACGGUCCAGACUCCUACGGGAGGCAGCAGUGGGGAAUUUUGGACAAUGGGCGCAAGCCUGAUCCAGCCAUUCCGCGUGAGUGAAGAAGGCCUUCGGGUUGUAAAGCUCUUUCGCAAGGGAAGAAAACUUAUCCUCUAACAUAGGAUGAGGUUGACGGUACCUUGAUAAGAAGCACCGGCUAACUACGUGCCAGCCGCCGCCGUAACAC